rnacentral:rRNA from 1 species
AACGAACGCUGGCGGCAGGCUUAACACAUGCAAGUCGAGCGCGUAGCAAUACGAGCGGCAGACGGGUGAGUAACGCGUGGGAACGUACCCUUUUCUACGGAAUAACCCAGGGAAACUUGGACUAAUACCGUAUACGCCCUUAGGGGGAAAGAUUUAUCGGAGAAGGAUCGGCCCGCGUUGGAUUAGCUAGUUGGUGGGGUAAAGGCCUACCAAGGCGACGAUCCAUAGCUGGUCUGAGAGGAUGAUCAGCCACAUUGGGACUGAGACACGGCCCAAACUCCUACGGGAGGCAGCAGUGGGGAAUAUUGGACAAUGGGCGCAAGCCUGAUCCAGCCAUGCCGCGUGAGUGAUGAAGGCCUUAGGGUUGUAAAGCUCUUUCACCGGGGAAGACAAUGACGGUACCCGGAGAAGAAGCCCCGGCUAACUUCGUGCCAGCCGCCGCAGUAA